rnacentral:ncRNA from 2 species
GAACAUUGCCCGGGGUCAGUGAAAGUCUGAACCGGCGGUGAUAGUCCGCGAACCUGCGCCAGCAGGCCGAUCCGGUGGAAAUCCGGAACCGACGGUUAAAGUCCGGAUGGGAGGCGCACAAA